AGCAUAUCAAUAAGCGGAGGAAAAGAAACUAACAAGGAUUCCCCUAGUAACUGCGAGUGAAGCGGGAUAAGCUCAAAUUUAAAAUCUGGUAGCUUCGCUGCCCGAGUUGUAAUCUGGAGAAGUGCUUUCCGUGCUGGACCGUGUACAAGUCUCUUGGAACAGAGCGUCAUAGAGGGUGAGAAUCCCGUCUUUGACACGGACUACCAGUGCUUUGUGAUGCGCUCUCAAAGAGUCGAGUUGUUUGGGAAUGCAGCUCAAAAUGGGUGGUAAAUUCCAUCUAAAGCUAAAUAUUGGCGAGAGACCGAUAGCGAACAAGUACCGUGAGGGAAAGAUGAAAAGAACUUUGGAAAGAGAGUUAAACAGUACGUGAAAUUGCUGAAAGGGAAACGCUUGAAGUCAGUCGCGUUGGCCGGAACUCAGCCUGGCUUUUGCUUGGUGCAUUUUCUGGUCGACGGGUCAGCAUCAGUUUUGACUGUCGGAUAAUGGUCGGGGGAAUGUGGCAUCUUCGGAUGUGUUAUAGCCCUCGGUCGCAUACGAUGGUUGGGACUGAGGAUCUCAGCACACCUUUAUGGUCGGGGUUCGCCCACGUUUGUGCUUAGGAUGCUGGCAUAAUGGCUUUAAACGACCCGUCUUGAAACACGGACCAAGGAGUCUAACAUGCGUGCGAGUGUUUGGGUGUAAAACCCGAGCGCGUAAUGAAAGUGAAAGUUGAGAUCCCUGUCGUGGGGAGCAUCGACGCCCGGACCAGACCUUCUGUGACGGCUCUGCGGUGGAGCAUGUAUGUUGGGACCCGAAAGAUGGUGAACUAUGCCUGAAUAGGGUGAAGCCAGAGGAAACUCUGGUGGAGGCUCGUAGCGAUUCUGACGUGCAAAUCGAUCGUCAAAUUUGGGUAUAGGGGCGAAAGACUAAUCGAACCAUCUAGUAGCUGGUUCCUGCCG
rnacentral:rRNA from 2 species